GAUCACUGGCUCAGGAUGAACGCUAGCUACAGGCUUAACACAUGCAAGUCGAGGGGCAGCAUGACCUAGCAAUAGGUUGAUGGCGACCGGCGCACGGGUGAGUAACACGUAUCCAACCUACCGGUUAUUCCGGGAUAGCCUUUCGAAAGAAAGAUUAAUACCGGAUAGUAUAACGAGAAGGCAUCUUCUUGUUAUUAAAGAAUUUCGAUAACCGAUGGGGAUGCGUUCCAUUAGUUUGUUGGCGGGGUAACGGCCC
rnacentral:rRNA from 1 species